AGUCGAACGCGUCUCCGUUGAUGAUUUUAGGUGCUUGCACUUGAAAGAUUUAACAUUGAGACGAGUGGCGAACUGGUGAGUAACACGUGGGUAACCUGCCCUUGAAGUAGGGGAUAACACUUGGAAACAGGUGCUAAUACCGUAUAACAACCAAAACCACCUGGUUUUGGUUUAAAAGACGGCUUCGGCUGUCACUUUAGGAUGGACCCGCGGCGUAUUAGCUUGUUGGUAAGGUAACGGCUUACCAAGGCGAUGAUACGUAGCCGACCUGAGAGGGUAAUCGGCCACAUUGGGACUGAGACACGGCCCAAACUCCUACGGGAGGCAGCAGUAGGGAAUCUUCCACAAUGGACGAAAGUCUGAUGGAGCAACGCCGCGUGAGUGAUGAAGGGUUUCGGCUCGUAAAACUCUGUUGUUGGAGAAGAACAGGUGUCAGAGUAACUGUUGACAUCUUGACGGUAUCCAACCAGAAAGCCACGGCUAACUACGUGCCAGCAGCCGCGGUAAUACGUAGGUGGCAAGCGUUGUCCGGAUUUAUUGGGCGUAAAGCGAGCGCAGGCGGUUUUUUAGGUCUGAUGUGAAAGCCUUCGGCUUAACCGGAGAAGUGCAUCGGAAACCGGGAGACUUGAGUGC
rnacentral:rRNA from 1 species